AAUAAAUGGAACGGUGGAAAGUUGCAUGGCAAUAUAUCUCGGAAUGGCUAUGGAAAUGCCAUAAUAGGUAGGUAUGGUGGCUAUUUUGAGGAAGAUAUAAGGAGGCUUAUGUGUGAUAGAGCGUAUCAUAUCACGGGGUUUGGAUGCACUGGCGAAGUUUGCACCAACUCUCAAGGUGAGAAAGGGCAAUGCACGGUACCGAAGAGGCUAGCAAUGGUGGAAGG
rnacentral:rRNA from 1 species